UACGUAGGGGGCGAGCGUUGUCCGAAGUUACUGGGCGUAAAGAGCGCGUAGGCGGGCUUCUAAGUGAGAGGUGAAAGGUUCGGGCUCAACCCGGAGAGUGCCUUUCAUACUGGGAGCCUUGAGUGCGGGAGAGGCAAGUGGAAUGGUCGGUGUAGCGGUGAAAUGCGUAGAUAUCGAUCGGAACACCCGUGGCGAAGGCGGCUUGCUGGCUCGCAACUGACGUGAGGCGCGAAAAGCGUGGGGGAGCAAACAGG
rnacentral:rRNA from 1 species